UACGUAGGGGGCAAGCGUUGUCCGGAAUCAUUGGGCGUAAAGCGCGUGUAGGCGGCCAGAAAAGUCCGCUGUGAAAACUCGAGGCUCAACUUCGAGCUGUCGGUGGAAACUUUCUGGCUAGAGUCCGGAAGAGGAGAAUGGAAUUCCUGGUGUAGCGGUGAAAUGCGCAGAUAUCAGGAAGAACACCCCGUGGCGAAGGCGGUUCUCUGGGGACGGUACUGACGCUGAGACGCGAAAGCGUGGGGAGCGAACAGG
rnacentral:rRNA from 1 species